GCAAUACUUAGUGGCAGACGGGUGAGUAACAUGUGGGUAUCUACCCUUUGGCCUGGAAUAACACGAGGAAACUUGUGCUAAUACCGGAUAAGUCUUUACGGAGAAAGCUUUAUGCACCAUUGGAUGAGCCCGCACUUGAUUAGUUUGUUGGUAGGGUAAUGGCCUACCAAGACUAUGAUCAAUAGCUGAUUUGAGAGGAUGAUCAGCCACAUUGGGACUGAGACACGGCCCAAACUCCUACGGGAGGCAGCAGUGGGGAAUCUUGCACAAUGGAGGAAACUCUGAUGCAGCGAUGCCGCGUGAGUGAAGAAGGCCCUUGGGUUGUAAAGCUCUUUCGUCGGGGAAGAAAAUGACUGUACCCGAAUAAGAAGGUCCGGCUAACUUCGUGCCAGCAGCCGCGGUAAUACGAAGGGACCUAGCGUAGUUCGGAAUUACUGGGCUUAAAGAGUUCGUAGGUGGUUGAAAAAGUUAGUGGUGAAAUCCCAGAGCUUAACUCUGGAACUGCCAUUAAAACUUUUCAGCUAGAGUAUGAUAGAGGAAAGCAGAAUUUCUAGUGUAGAGGUGAAAUUCGUAGAUAUUAGAAAGAAUACCAAUUGCGAAGGCAGCUUUCUGGAUCAUUACUGACACUGAGGAACGAAAGCAUGGGUAGCGAAGAGGAUUAGAUACCCUCGUAGUCCAUGCCGUAAACGAUGUGUGUUAGACGUUGGAAAUUUAUUUUCAGUGUCGCAGGGAAACCGAUAAACACACCGCCUGGGGAGUACGACCGCAAGGUUAAAACUCAAAUGAAUUGACGGGGACCCGCACAAGUAGUGGAG
rnacentral:rRNA from 1 species